UGCAAGCGUUGCUCGGCAUUAUUGGGCGUAAAGGGUAGGUAGGUGGUCUCAUUUGUCCGGGGUGAAAGCCUUGAGCUUAACUCAAGAAGUGCCUCGGAAACGGUGAGACUAGAGUCUUGGAGAGGGUCGUGGAAUUCCCGGUGUAGCGGUGAAAUGCGUAGAGAUCGGGAGGAACACCAGAGGCGAAGGCGGCGACCUGGACAAGUACUGACACUCAACUACGAAAGCGUGGGGAGCAAACAGG
rnacentral:rRNA from 1 species